UACGAAGGGGACUAGCGUUGUUCGGAAUUACUGGGCGUAAAGCGUGCGUAGACGGUUAUUUAAGUCAGGUGUGAAAGCCCCGGGCUCAACCUGGGAAUUGCAUUUGAGACUGAAUAGCUAGGGUGCGGAAGAGGGAAGCGGAAUUUCCGGUGUAGCGGUGAAAUGCGUAGAUAUGCGGAGGAACACCGAUGGCGAAGGCAAUCCCCUGGGCCUGCACUGACGCUCAUGCACGAAAGCGUGGGGAGCAAACAGG
rnacentral:rRNA from 1 species